rnacentral:piRNA from 1 species
GCCAGCAACUCAUUACAAACCACCCUUAGA